rnacentral:lncRNA from 1 species
CCGAUUACCCGGGCUGCCCUUCACUCUCUAUACUACUAUCAACGGGAACCCAACGGGGAGGAGACGCUGAUGUCGAAGAUACCGCUGAGGUGGCAGCGUGAUCAUUUCGAUCUCUCCACGGCGCAUUACCGGGUCAAGUAUGCGAUGCUCGGCGAGGAGGAUAGGCUCGCGUACAAGAAGCUGGUCGAUUACGUGCAGAGCUUCAGCUUGGGGUUCUGGGCGAAUCGACAGGGCGUGCCCUACCUGGAUGA